rnacentral:misc_RNA from 1 species
GGGGACCAUUCCUUGUAGCCAUUUAACAGGAGUUUGUUAGUGUCCUUUUUGCGAAGUCUCAAUAAUCCCCAUUUUACCCAUUUAGAAGUUAUCAUCUUGCUUUGCCACUGGAAUUAGUUAUGUAGACUGUCUGGCGGUUAUUCAAGGGGAACCUAGUUUUUCGAAAUGCUAUUUUCAGAUGUUUACAAGCCUGGUAAGGAUGUCACAAGAUUAGACGUGUAAAUAAAACUGUAUUUACUGUGU